UACGUAGGGUGCGAGCGUUAAUCGGAAUUACUGGGCGUAAAGCGUGCGCAGGCGGUUUGCUAAGACCGAUGUGAAAUCCCCGGGCUUAACCUGGGAACUGCAUUGGUGACUGGCAGGCUAGAGUGUGGCAGAGGGGGGUAGAAUUCCACGUGUAGCAGUGAAAUGCGUAGAGAUGUGGAGGAAUACCGAUGGCGAAGGCAGCCCCCUGGGCUAACACUGACGCUCAUGCACGAAAGCGUGGGGAGCAAACAGG
rnacentral:rRNA from 1 species